rnacentral:lncRNA from 1 species
GUGUGCUGGAGAUUUGUUUACCCCAAGACCCAAAUCCUUAUGAUUUGUUGAGCUCCUCUGCAAGCAGCUCCUUAUCAAAAUACAGUGCAGACAAUGAGGGGGACUCGGAUGACACCAUUAUAUUGCAGCAGAGUGCUACAAGAAAGACAGCUGAGGAUAAUCGUCUAUCUCAUAUGAUUGAAGACAUUCUGACGACCAAUCCUGGAGGAGAGAGGAUCAUGAAUGAGUAUGCUCGGACAAAAAGCCUAACAGAUGGCAAAAGACGCGAUAUGGUCAAGAUAUUGGUUGCACAAAUGACAAGUGAACAUGGUAAAGUGUGUGUGUCUAGGACAAGUCCUUCAAGGCGUGUUAAAGAGGACUACUCAAAGGGCAUCAUUGCCUUGUUCCCAAACCUGGCCGAUCCUACUAGCAAGUUUGGUUAUGAGCAUUAUUACAAUGCAGAAGAUGGGAGUGGAUUUCUAGCAUGGAGACUGAAAUUUGUUCAAAGGGAAGCAUCAGUGGGACGACAGAAGGCCAUGUGUCAGUCACUGACAUGGGGUCCGAAAGCUGAUAGAUACCCCUUCAGAGAGGAAAACUGUCCAACAACAGAAUGCCUGUGUUGUGAGGCCAUUGCACUGAUGAAGGAUACGGCUGAGGAAGCAAUUGUAAAGGAGAAGAUGAAGCAGACGUUCGCCUAUCGCCAAAAGAUGGUUCAUGACCCAGUGAAGUCCUCUGAAAUAUUCACAGUGUUUCCAAGAUUCCAAGACAUAGCAGGAAUGAUUGAGCAAGAUUUUAGUCUGAUGUUUGGUGAUGCAACCUCUGCAAAGUUCCUGGAGAAGUGGCCUACUCUCUACAAGCAGAAAGUAAUUGACCAAAGCCGUGGCCUCACACAGACAGGCAACCUACAAGACCUGGUUCAAAAUGCUGAAUCCACAAGGGAAGUGAAAAAUGGAUGGGACAGUGACAUGUCCUCCAUUUUGGUCCUUGUCCACAUUCUUCCACCGUCACCACUUGGCCGCAAGAGACCAGGAAAAGUCUCAGCCAGACACGCCAGUGACCACAUUGUGAAGUUUAUCAAGACUGGGACCAGCAUCCAGGGGCAUCUGGAGAGCGUCAUGGAAAGCUCUCCACCCUAUCUGCUUGCUGUGGGGACCCAGAGGAGUGCGAUUCACAAGUACUUCAUUGUGAUUGACAAGCAUGCAGUACCUUGUAAGUCACCAGACUCUCUUGCCUGUUUUGAUGAGCUUUUCAAAGCUCAUUUUGUCUUUGGUACCUCGUACAACCAGUAUCUGGUCAAUGUGUACAACUUCUUGCAAACCACAAUUUAUGAAAUUGAUGUUGAUACCACUAAGGUUAAUCCUAGGGUUGCAGAGUUGAGGGCUCGGAUGCUGCAUUGAGUUACUAAAAGUUUUGAAGUUGCAAAGGGUUAAAACACAGCAUAGGAAAUAACCGUUUUCAUUUCACACAAACUUUUUCAUAUCAUUCAUCUAAAAUGUGUUUUGCUUGCAAAAGCCUCCAGGCAAAUGCUAAUUCCUUGACAAAACUCUAGAAGUUGGUCCACGGACUUUGUCCAGGAAAGACAGUUAGUCAUGCGGUCAGGCUGGUUGUUCACAAGUUUAUGCCACUUUUUCUGGGUUCAGAAAUCAUCUUUAUAAAGCACAUGAACCUUGUUCUGAUCAUGGUGAAGGCCCCUCUACAGCUGAAUAUGUAGCAGUAAGUCAUUUUGAUGACUUACCAUUAACAAGUUCCCCUUCUGACUCAGUCCUUGUCAAUAAGAGUCUUGUAGACAGCUGCGCUGCAAUCAUUGCUGAACUUAGUGGCAGGUGUAGGUGAAACCACCAUUAACUCUUUGGUAAUUUCCAUGGAAGAGAUAGUUGAUGAUAUUCAAGCUAAAGAAUCUGUGAAGUGUAUAUGUCUAUACAGGAGCCUAUUAAAAGUGACAUUAGGUGUAAAAUUCAUCAGUGUUUUGAAAAAACGUAAUCCUUUUGGUGUACAUCUAGACGUUCCGCUAGCGGAACACCUGCUCCAAUAUCCAAUGAUGGCCGUGGCGCGAAAUACAAACUCCUCUAAAAUCCGAAAACUUCCAUUUUUCAAACAUAUGACUAUUUUACAGCAUUUUAAAGACAAGACUCUCGUUAAUCUAACCACACUGUCCGAUUUCAAAAAGGCUUUACAGCGAAAGCAAAACAUUAGAUUAUGUCAGCAGAGUACCCAGCCAGAAAUAAUCAGACACCCAUUUUUCAAGCUAGCAUAUGUCACAAAAAACAAAACCACAGCUAAAUGCAGCACUAA